rnacentral:tRNA from 1 species
UCUCCCAUGGUGUAAUUGGCAACACUACGGUUUUUGGUACCGUCAUUCUAGGUUCGAGUCCUGGUGGGAGAGCGA